rnacentral:rRNA from 1 species
GACGAACGCUGGCGGCGCGCCUAACACAUGCGAGUCGAACGAGCGAGAGAGAGCUUGCUUUCUCGAGCGAGUGGCGAACGGGUGAGUAACGCGUGAGGAACCUGCCUCAAAGAGGGGGACAACAGUUGGAAACGACUGCUAAUACCGCAUAAGCCCACGGUGCCGCAUGGCACAGAGGGAAAAGGAGCAAUCCGCUUUGAGAUGGCCUCGCGUCUGAUUAGCUAGUUGGUGAGGUAAUGGCCCACCAAGGCGACGAUCGGUAGCCGGACUGAGAGGUUGAACGGCCACAUUGGGACUGAGACACGGCCCAGACUCCUACGGGAGGCAGCAGUGGGGAAUAUUGCACAAUGGGGGAAACCCUGAUGCAGCGACGCCGCGUGGAGGAAGAAGGUCUUCGGAUUGUAAACUCCUGUUGUUGGGGAAGAUAAUGACGGUACCCAACAAGGAAGUGACGGCUAACUACGUG